GAACACAAAAUGGCGACACGUGGUUAGCAUUCGUCGCCAACGAGAAAUUGGGGUCGGCCCGAAAGCUCUAGAAUGCACCCCUAUUCCUCCCCGGGGCCAUUCCCGCUCAACGAGUUUUAUGACCUAAAAAACCCCACAGGCUGGUCUGAAGAGGAAGACACUUAAAGAUGAAGUGCUUAAUUCAAGGUCACAGAAUGUCGGGGAUGGACCUCCAGAUUUCCUUACUGGUGAGACGUGGUCUUGUAACACAGUGGUUAAGAAUGUGACUUUGGAGCCAGCCUGCUAGGGGCUGAAUUCUGACUCAGCCAUUUAUUAACUGUGUGACCUUAGGGAGGAGGACCUGGUUGAUAGAAGAAUUUAUCUCAUAGUCUUAACAUCCACUGUAAUUCCGAACUUUGAGGACGAUAGAGAUCAGUGGGCUUUGACUGCCCAGCAUGCAGUCUCCAUUCUUAGGUAGGUUCCCAAGCCUGUAAAAUGUAAGUCUUAUGUUGCUGAGGGCCAUCUUGCCACCCCGAGGGGAACGCUGCCUGAGAAUGAAACCAGC
rnacentral:antisense_RNA from 1 species